UGCGAGUCAUAUGUUCUUCGUGAACAUGGCGUACUGCUCAGUAACACGUGGAUAACCUGCCCUUGGGACCGGGAUAACCCCGGGAAACUGGGGAUAAUACCGGAUAACGCAUAUCUGCUGGAAUGCUUUAUGCGUAAAAUGGAUUUGUCUGCCCAAGGAUGGGUCUGCGGCCUAUCAGGUAGUAGUGGGUGUAAUGUACCUACUAGCCUACGACGGGUACGGGUUGUGAGAGCAAGAGCCCGGAGAUGGAUUCUGAGACAUGAAUCCAGGCCCUACGGGGCGCAGCAGGCGCGAAAACUUUACAAUGCGGGAAACCGUGAUAAGGGGACACCGAGUGCCAGCAUCAUAUGUUGGCUGUCCAGAUGUGUAAAAUACAUCUGUUAGCAAGGGCCGGGCAAGACCGGUGCCAGCCGCCGCGGUAACACCGGCGGCCCGAGUGGUGAUCGUGAUUAUUGGGCCUAAAGGGUCCGUAGCCGGUUUGGUCAGUCCUCCGGGAAAUCUGACGGCUCAACCGUUAGGCUUUCGGUGGAUACUGCCAGACUUGGAACCGGGAGAGGUAAGAGGUACUACAGGGGUAGGAGUGAAAUCUUGUAAUCCCUGUGAGACCACCUGUGGCGAA
rnacentral:rRNA from 1 species